UUUUAUGCAAGCACAAGAUCCAAGCACAAUAUGGAAGCAUUAAGAUGUUCAAGCAGAAUUGAACCAAGAACAUCUAAUUCUUAUAAAGAAAGACUAUAGGAAUAUGUUUGAAUCAUCCAUUUAUUUUUAUUUUCAAAUAAAAAGCCAAAGGUGUCUUUUUCAUUAGCUCACCCCAUUAACAACUUCAGCUUGGAGAUUCGGACCUGUAACCAGCUGCAAAUCAAGAUUUCAUGCAUUAGUAUGAGAAGCCAUCUUUUUCCAUGCUUGUAAGCACAACACAUAGAUUUUGCCUUUCUUUUUUUUUUUUUUGGGUUUGGAUUGGAAUAGAUUUUGACUGGUAGAACGAGUUAGCUUGCAAGCCUAGGUCAAGAAUAAAAUUCUUUACCUAAUAUAGAAAAAAUGGACUUCAACUUGGGGGCUGUGUUAAAUUCUUGUGUAUACCUGUAGAUAUUAAGCUUCAAGAUUUUCUUGAUGCACCCUGACACCAAGGAAAACAUCCUUAAUGAGAUGUAAUUUUCUGACUACUUCAUUCAUAUGCAUCCUAUCAUUUGGUAAUCUUGCAGAGCACAUAAGUCCAAUUUUCAGCAGGGAAAUAAUGCACUCCAUCUCUUUCCCACCAUUGCUAUUUUUCCCUCCAGGAGUCAUAUUUCUGUUUUCAUCUCCUUCAAGAAAAAGCAACGGGUCCGCUAUCUCAGAAACUCGUUCAUGCAAAGCCCCAUUAACAUAGUUAUGUAGAUCAAGAUCACCCACGAAUGUAUCAUCUGUUGGCCUCCUUCCUGUAAUCAUCUCUAACAAAAGAAUACCGUAGCUGUAGACAUCCCCCUGAGUUGAUGCCGCAAGACCCAUUCCAUACUCUGAGAUUUUGUUUCGAGACAUAUUAUUAUUGGGUAGUAAAAGAAAAACUAUAUAAAAGAAAUAAUUGAUUAAAAUUAAUCAAAUGUUAGAUUGGGGCAUAAUGGACCUCCUUUUAGAACAAAAUGACUUUAAUUCAAAUUAGCUACUAUGCAUCGGUGAUUAGAGAUCUCAUAGUAAUUAUAAUAAAAAAAUUAAAAAGAAUUAAAUGUCCCAAAGUUCUAUAUUUCUGCGCACAAUUAAGUAAAUUCUUGACCAUAAAAAUUUGUGUUACCUGAGGCUGCGUAGUCGAUUGUUCCUUUUAUAGCAAUAGUACUGCUGCCUUCUUGCUCGGAAGAUCUGUUGACGGGUUUCGGGAGAAGCCUUGCCAAUCCAAAAUCUACCACAUGAGCAACAAGAUCAUUGUCAAGAAAAAUGUUACUUGGUUUUAGAUCACAGUGAACAAUCUCAGCUUCGCAGUGGUUCUGAAGAAACUGCAAUGCAGAAGCCACAUCAAUUGCAAUGUUCAGCUUCUGAGAAAGAUUAAGACUUCUUGAGCUUGUUGCCUGAUCAGUUGUCUCUGAAGGAUGCAGCCACAAGUCCAGAUUUCCAUUUUCCAUCAACUCAUAGACUAGAGCUUUGAAUUCAUCACCCUUGGAAUCAAUACUGGAGCAAUAACGCACGACAGAAACGAGGUUUCUAUGGCGAAUAUUUCUCAAUGCUUUGCACUCCGCCUUAAAACUUUUCGAACCUCCAUUCUUUCGAAGAUCAAGAACUUUAACUGCUACAAGCUUGUUGCCAUGUUUUUCUAGCCUUCCUUUGUAGACAGCUCCAAAAUUUCCUGAACCAAUUAAGUUUUCUGGAGAAAAUCUAGAAGUUGCACGAAGAAGUUCAUGGUAAGAAAUUCGCAAGAGCUUAUUGACUCUUGUAGGCAUGCUAGAGAAUCCUGUCACCAUUCUUCUUUCUCUUUUUCGAUGUACCAAGAAAUAUAACAACAAUGCACCGAGAACCAGAAGCGUUGCUGGUAAAACAAUGGACAGCAAUAUGACAACCUUCAGCUUUCCUCUGUUUUUCCCCUUGAUCACUGGGCAAGGUGGGAACUCCAAUUCUGGAAUGCCUCCACAGAGUUUGUUAGGGCUGGCCCAGGAAAUAGACAAACUAAAGUUAGCACAAAUUAGGCGGUAUAACCGACCAUAUAAUAGAUAGGCGGUAGAUACCAGUCAUAUAAUAAUUAGGCGGUAAAACCGACCAUAUAAAGACGGAUAACAAAGCAAAUAAAAGACACAGAAGAUUUACGUGGUUCGGUCAAAUUGACCUACGUCCACGGACGAGGGAGGAGCAAUAUUUCUACUAUGAAAAAGAAAUACAAAAGACCGUAGGAAAGUGGUUCCUAGACCAAUAGGCACUUACAAAAGAGUUUAGAAAAUAUUCCUAAACUCAAAACAAGAGAGCCUAAAAUAUUUGACUGAAUGGGCUAAAUGACUCAAGAAACUAAUAGCCCAUAUUACUCUCUUGAGUGGUGCAAUUAAUUCCUUCAUAAAUCCCUUCUAUUUAUAGGCUCUCCAAUGAAGCCUUCCUGCUGUCUGCUGCGAUGUGGGAUGAAAGGAAGAAAACUUCCUUACGUAGCAUCUGAUGUGGGACGAAGAAUUUUGCCACACAAGGUCAAACCUUGCGGCACAACAGAGUUUGUUGUUGCCAGUCAAUGAUAUUUGACUUGCAAUACUGAAGACUCCAGUGUUCGGUAUCUCACCCUCGAUGUCGUUAUAGGAAAGGUUUAAGUACCUCAAAAAUUGAAGCUUCUCAAGUUCUUUGGGUAUUAGACCAGUCAAGUUAUUACUUGAAAGGUCUAAUUGUUGGAUGCUCUUCAAAGAAGCCAAAUUUGGUGGAAUUGUUCCUUGGAAAAAAUUGGCAUCCAUAUAAAGAUUCUCCAGAUCUGAACAGUCAGCAAGUGAGAUGGGUAUAGCUCCAGCAAGUUGGUUGUGGGAAACCGAGAAAUUCACCAUAUGUACAAGCUUUCCAACUUCAGGAGGCAGAGAACCAGUGAAAGAAUUUUCACUUAAUCCCAUAGCAAUCAGUGAUGAGUGCGUCUCCAGAAAAUGUGGUGAUAUAAAUCCAGUGAAGUUGUUUUGAGAUAUAUCCAGAAUUUGCAAAUUUUGACAGUUCAUAAGAACAUUGUCAAAUAUAUUGCCCCCUUCAAACUGGUUGGUCGACAAAUACAGCUCGGAUAGACCGGUGGCGUUGCAUAGAGUAGAGACCAUCUGUCCUGACAACUCAUUUAGGCUUAGACUUAGAAUUUGCAAAUUUUGUAAUUUGCCAAAAUCUCUUGGAAUGACCCCUGAAAGAUAGUUUUCUUCAAGGCCAAGUCGAAUUAGGUUGACAAAGUUUCCAAAUCCUUGUGGAAUGGUUCCUGACAGUUGAUUUGUUCCCAGGUACAAUUUAGUGAGUUGAUUUGAUAGAUUGCCCAUGACUUUAGGUAUAUUACCUCCAGAAUUAUUGUAACUCAAUGAAAAAGCGCUUAGAUCACUGCAGUUGGUCAAUGAUGCAAUAAAAUCUAAGUCUCCAGUUGAAUUACCGCCGAAGAGGUUUACUUCAAGAUUUAAAAAUUGAAGAUUUGUCAGAUCUCCUAAAUUAGUUGGAACUUGGCCUGCGAACUUAUUGCUGGAAAGAUCAAGUUCCUCAAGCCCAGAAGCAUUGGUGAUUGAAGUGGGAAAGUUUCCAGAGAAAUUAUCUCAAAUAAUCUGAAAAAUCUGAAAUGGAGAGCUUCCUUGAGUGUGGUACAACUUUUGUGCUCCCAAGUCAAUCGUGAACAGUGUAUCGCGCGUAGAGCUGCAAACGAGCCGAGUCGAGCUUUGAGCUAAUCGAGCCGAGCCUCAACUAAAUUUUACCAAGCUCGAGCUCGACGAGCCGGCAAAUUUCGAGCUCGAGCUCGACUCGAAUCAAGUCGAGCCGAGCUCGAGCUCGAGCUCGAGCUCAAAAAAAAAUAAAAAAUAAUUAUUUUAUUUUUUAAAAAAUAAAUAAAAUAAUAUUUUUUUCUUAAUAAAUAAUAAAAUAUUAAGGAUAUAUACAUAAUUUUACUCGAGCUAAAAAAAAAAUAAAAAAUAAUUAUUUUAUUUUUAAAAAAAUAAAUAAAAUAAUAUUUUUUUCUUAAUAAAUAAUAAAAUAUUAAGGAUAUAUACGUAAUUUUACUAUAAAAAUAAAAAAUAAAAAAAUAUAUAUAUAAUAUACGUAAUUUUAUUAUUAAAUAAAAAUAAAAAAAAUAUAUAUAUAUAUAUAUACCCAAGCUCGCGAGUCGGCUCGCGAGCUAACGAGCUUAAUAUUCUGAGCUCGAGCUCGAGCUCGAGUUUGACUCGAGCCGCUCGCGAGCAGCUCGAUUCGUUUGCAGCCCUAAUCGCGCGCGCGUUUCGCGCCCGUUUCCUCUGAGGUUUGUUUUGACUGUGCACUAAACCUCUAAUACACAUAUAUUCAUGUAAUUAUCAUUCACUCUUAAUGACCUCAAAAUAAGGUUCUAAAGUCCUUCAAAUAAAUCGCGCGCGUAAAACGCGUAUUUCCCACUUAUGCGCGAUAAGGUGAUUUUUUUGAGAAAUUCUUAUAACGAUGGCAUUUCUAACUAAUACAUGGAUAUUUAGGCAUAAAAAUACCUAUUUUAAGACUAGGGUAUAAAUCUCCCAUUAUUCGGGCUCAUGAACUCUCAAGUCAGUUACUAUUCCUGAGCCUACGGGCACUAUUCACACUUAACAACUUUCAAGACUUGAAUUGCGAACUAAUUGCCUUAAAAUUACUCAUGAGCUAUAAUGCUAUAGAAUUGGGUCCAAUAGGGCUAGAAAAUAAUAUUCGAAAUAAUUAAACAAUUAACUAAUUAAAUAACCUCAGAAUGGGAAUUUAAAAGAAAUAAAUUGCGAGUCCUCACAUUCCUGAUCUAACAUUUCUCCAACUUAAUUAUACCUUUUUAUAGCCUCUACAUAUACUAUAUUUCAACUUAGGACUAAUUCGCGCGUCGGUGCGCGAAAAUUCAACUUAGGGCUUUGCCAAACGCGAACCGUCAAUUAAAUCUUAAAAAUUCAAAUAAAUUGAAUUGUAACAUUUGAAUGAUUGAAAACAAUAUUAUUUAAAUAUAAAUACAUAUUAUUGGAUAAUUUUAAUAUUUUGAUUUAAUUUUCCAGAGGAUAAUAAAAUUUUUGAGGUCCUCACAUGAUUAAUUUUAGUUAAAAUGCUAAGUUAACCGAAUUAUUUUGUUAAUUUUGAGCAUUCCGUCGAGAAUGGUAUUUAAGCAGGAUGGAAUUUACCGUUUAAAGAGUAAAGUGUAGUUUAAGGAUGAAAAAGAUAGUCGAAGUAAAGAGUGCAAAGUAGAAUUAACACAAGUAAAAGUUAAAAUAACGGUGUUAUUUCAAACAAGUUGAAAAUGAGAUUGUUUAAUGAACAAAUUAUUAUUGGCAUAUAAAUAAGCAGGUUUUUAGAUACUUACAAAGUUUGAUAUUUAAAUGGGUUAUUAUAACUUUAUCCCCUUAAACUAUAUCAUUACUAUCAGUUUAUCCCCUAACGUUAUCUUUUAAUUACUUUACCCCUAUAAGUAAUUCAACUCAAUAUGUUAAGAAAUUUUGGACAAAAAUACCUUUUUAUUUUAUAGCAUUACUACAUUGUUAUUAUCACUUUAUUCGUUUAUAUUAUAGUGAUACAAUAACUUUAGUUCCUAACAUUAUUUUCUAUGCAUUUUACUUCAUCGUUAAUCUAACUAGUAUGGUAAAAAAAUUUUAAAUAUAUUUACCCUUUUUAUAUAUAAUUAAAAAUAAAAAAGUUGGAAUGGUUAUUCGUCUUCUUUUUUUUACUUUAAGUGAUCGAAAAACAUAAAAAUAAAAGGGUUUUCUCAAAUUUUUUUCACACUUAUUAAUACUAGGAAAAGAAAAAGAGAUAGAAAAAAAGAAGAAGAAAGAAAAUUAGAUUUUGCAAAGAAAGAAAAUAAAAAAAAGUCUAACAUUAUCGUAUUACAUUAAGGUUGUCGGGAUUAGAAUUUGGUAGUAAACAGAAAUGUGAAAUAAUUUUAAAAUAAUAAAAGUAUUUAAUUCUUUCUUAUUUGUAAUUUUUAAAAAAAGAAUUGAACUCUCUCCCCCUCCCCCUCCCCCUCCCCCUCUCCAUCUUUCUAUUCUUUUUUGAUAUUAAUAAAAUUGCCAAGAAAAAAGAAAUUAAUACUUUGAUUUUUUUUUUCUUACUACUAAAAAGGAGAAUAGCCACUAUAAAUUUUUUAUUAUUUUUAUUAUGCAAAUAGGAAGGUAUUUUCUACUAAAGUUUUUUAAUUUGCUAAGUUGGUUUAAUGGUAGGAUAAAUUGCCUAAAAAAUAACUCUAGAGGUAAAUUGAUAAUGAGACUAUAGUUUAUGGGGGUAAAGUGAUAAUAAUUUUAAGGGUUAAACAUGUCUAAUUAACAAACUCUGUUAAGUUUGACCGUUAGUUUUGGAGGUAAAGUGACUAAAAAAUAACGUUAAAUGGGAAAUUGAUAGUGGCACCAAACGUUAAGGGGGCAAAAUGAUAAUAAACCCUAUUUAAAUUCAAAGUCAGACAACUUGGCAUACCUCUAAACUCGUAAAUGUACACGUUAAUAGUGUAGAAAAGAUUAAAUACUUAAUGAUAUUAUACCUUCAUGUAAGUUGGUAUUUCACUUUGCUUCAUUAACUAAUUUUGUCAAAACAUUCCCUCAAAAAAGAAAAGGAAAGUUUUGUCAAAACAUUGCAGUUUGCCCCCUAUACACUUUUUUGCUUUUCCUUUUUCCCUGCUAAUGGAGUCUCUUAUUACUAUGAUGGCAGAAUGUUCCCAAUUGAUACCUUACCCAAUUUGUGCUUCUCCCAAAUUUUGACCCUAAGUUGGGCUGCCAGAGCCAGAGGACGCGACUUGCACAUGGAUAAAUUAUUCACUCAAAAAUCCUUUUCCCUUCUGAUUUUUUUUUUCUUGGCAGUUUCUCCAAUUAUUUAACAUUUUAUCUUUUUUUUUAAUUUCUCCUUCCUCUUCACUUCCUUCUUUAACUUUUCUUUCAACCCGAUAUUGCCUAGGUUACUUACUAGGCCCUACUAACAUUUUACGUUCAAAAUCAUCAAGAUAUGGCAUAAAAGUAUGAGCCCCACCAUGACUAGAUCCAUAGCUUUAAGAGGCAAGGUGACUUAAUUGAGCAAUAGAUGGAUAUGGUAAUAAGGGAACAUAUGAAUUUAUUGUACAAUUGAUCCUCUCCUUUUAUCCCCUUAUGUUGUUCUCAUUGUAACUGAAAUUUCAUAUAGUAGCAAAAUCAAAAUUCAAAGAAAGUGGGAGCAAGACUAUGCAUUGUAAGUAUAAUGUAUUGCAUAUUAUUUAAGCACUAGAUCCAAGCAUAAUAUGGAAGCAUUAAGAUGUUCAAGCAGAACUGAGCCAAUUGACUGCCUCCAAGAUCACCUAAUUCUAAGACUAUAGGAAUAUGUUUGAAUCAUCCAUUUAUAUUUUUAUUUUCAAAUAAAAAGCCAAAGGUGUCUUCUUCAUUAGCUCACCCCAUUAACAACUUCAGCUUGGAGAUUC
rnacentral:lncRNA from 1 species